rnacentral:rRNA from 2 species
ACACGUGGGUAACCUGCCUGUAAGACUGGGAUAACUCCGGGAAACCGGGGCUAAUACCGGAUGCUUGAUUGAACCGCAUGGUUCAAUCAUAAAAGGUGGCUUUUAGCUACCACUUACAGAUGGACCCGCGGCGCAUUAGCUAGUUGGUGAGGUAACGGCUCACCAAGGCGACGAUGCGUAGCCGACCUGAGAGGGUGAUCGGCCACACUGGGACUGAGACACGGCCCAGACUCCUACGGGAGGCAGCAGUAGGGAAUCUUCCGCAAUGGACGAAAGUCUGACGGAGCAACGCCGCGUGAGUGAUGAAGGUUUUCGGAUCGUAAAACUCUGUUGUUAGGGAAGAACAAGUACCGUUCGAAUAGGGCGGUACCUUGACGGUACCUAACCAGAAAGCCACGGCUAACUACGUGCCAGCAGCCGCGGUAAUACGUAGGUGGCAAGCGUUGUCCGGAAUUAUUGGGCGUAAAGCGCGCGCAGGCGGUUUCUUAAGUCUGAUGUGAAAGCCCCCGGCUCAACCGGGGAGGGUCAUUGGAAACUGGGGAACUUGAGUGCAGAAGAGGAGAGUGGAAUUCCACGUGUAGCGGUGAAAUGCGUAGAGAUGUGGAGGAACACCAGUGGCGAAGGCGACUCUCUGGUCUGUAACUGACGCUGAGGCGCGAAAGCGUGGGGAGCGAACAGGAUUAGAUACCCUGGUAGUCCACGCCGUAAACGAUGAGUGCUAAGUGUUAGAGGGUUUCCGCCCUUUAGUGCUGCAGCAAACGCAUUAAGCACUCCGCCUGGGGAGUACGGUCGCAAGACUGAAACUCAAAGGAAUUGACGGGG